rnacentral:rRNA from 1 species
AACGAACGCUGGCGGCAUGCCUAACACAUGCAAGUCGAACGAGACCUUCGGGUCUAGUGGCGCACGGGUGCGUAACGCGUGGGAACCUGCCCUUAGGUUCGGAAUAACUCCCCGAAAGGGGUGCUAAUACCGGAUAAUUUCUUCGGACCAAAGAUUUAUCGCCUUUGGAUGGGCCCGCGUUGGAUUAGCUAGUUGGUAGGGUAAAAGCCUACCAAGGCGACGAUCCAUAGCUGGUCUGAGAGGAUGAUCAGCCACACUGGGACUGAGACACGGCCCAGACUCCUACGGGAGGCAGCAGUGGGGAAUAUUGGAAAAUGGGCGAAAGCAUGAUCCAGCAAUGCCGCGUGAGUGAUGAAGGCCUUAGGGUUGUAAAGCUCUUUUACCCGGGAUGAUAAUGACAGUACCGGGAGAAUAAGCUCCGGCUAACUCCGUG